AGAGAAGACAAAAUACCUUAAUAAAGGGAUGUGCAAACGAUUAAUGUUUGGAAUCCAAUGGGCUUAUCCACAUCUUCAAAUUGAAAACUUAGUAGUUUCAUUCUCAAAAGAAAUGGAUAGUCAUUGGAUUCGAAUCCAUCGGGGUAGAAGAAGAUAUAAGGCACAUGAAAACCUUAUUCUUCUUCCAUAGUACAACGAAGAUACAAAAUACAGAGGAAGUCCAAGGUUGUCUUUUGUGUUGACUUAAACCUAGCAGUUGAAGAUCAAGGGUAGAUAGGGUAGAUGAUUAAGAAAGAUUUAAGUUCAAAUGAAGAGACAAAUUACUGUUGUAGAAUCAAUAAAACAUUGUAAAUUUUAAUACUUUAAUUCUUCGUUUAUGUAAUUUAGAUAGUUUGUAUAAACUCAAUUUGAGUAUUUCUUUUAUUAAUAGAGUUUCACAAAACAUAUAUUAAUAAUAAUUUAAUUCUUAUUUUUGUUAUUUAAUAUUUCA